rnacentral:misc_RNA from 1 species
GCAAACUUGGUCAUUUAGAGGAAGUAAAAGUCGUAACAAGGUUUCCGUAGGUGAACCUGCGGAAGGAUCAUUAAAAAGUUUGGGUUAUUUUUUAACCUAACUUCUAAACCUUUGUUUAAAACAAUUUUAUUUUGCUUUGGUGAAGCAGAAAUUUAUUUCGAUUGGAAUGAUUCAAAACCAUUCUAAUUAGUUCUUCACCAUUAGCCUUUAUUAAAUUCAUUUUUAAUUAAAAGUCUGAAAACUUAUAAUUCUAAAUUAUAAUAAAACUUUCAACAACGGAUCUCUUGGUUCUGGCAUCGAUGAAGAACGCAGC